CAAAAAGACGGAGACAAAACGACGCUGACCAAGGCAGAACUCUCUGAUCUGCUCAAGGCUGAGUUUUUUGAGGGGAAAACCCCAAGCAAAGCUGAAGUGGACGAGUUCUUCAAAAGUCUGGAUGUGGAUAGUGAUGGCGUUGUGGAUUACACAGAGUAUGUCGUUUUUGUGGCAGCCCUCACCAUGAUUAUCUAAAUAAAAUGUGCUUAUGAAAUAAAUACUGAGGCCAUUUUGCCUCAGUGAAGUCUUACCUUAUUCAAUUUGUGCUAAUAAAAAAAUUGAGACAUUU